rnacentral:lncRNA from 1 species
UUGGUAGCAUCAUUGGCGCCGUCUGUGGGAAACGCUACCAAAAGCCAUGGUGAACACACGUUCAGGUCUUCCUCCAGCAAGCUCAUCCGUUCCGGAUCCUCCCCCUCCUCCUGAAGGUCAUCAUGUCCCUCAAGAAGAAUUAUCAGAGAUGCCAGCACCUCUCCCGACGGUCGUUACAACCGAAGCCUUUGAAGAGCUCCGUCAGCAGGUGGCCACACUCACGCAACUAUUGAGUCAAAGAAAUUCACAUUCGUCACCAGCGCAGGCAGAGCAUAGUGGUUUUAUGGCUGAUGCUCGAGCCCGACCACCAAACCUUGCAACUGGCAGAGUGGGAACCUCGGGAAUUCGCAAUAUGGCCUCGGGCUCGAGAUCGGUCGCCAUGGAUUCCAGUGAGAUUGCCCGAAUCAUUCAAGAAAGAAUUACAGCUGGCCUACAUAGGAAUGCUCGGGGGCCAACGGGUUUUAUCCCUAACACCCCGUUCACUCCUGAGGUAUUAUCAUUCCCCCUACCGGACAGAUUUAAGUACCCCGUAUAAAAGAAUUUGAU